rnacentral:rRNA from 1 species
UACAGAGGUCUCAAGCGUUGUUCGGAUUCAUUGGGCGUAAAGGGUGCGUAGGUGGCGGGGCAAGUUUGGUGUGAAAUUCCGGGGCUCAACCCCGGAACUGCACUGAAUACUGCCUUGCUAGAGCACUGGAGAGGGAACUGGAAUUUACGGUGUAGCAGUGAAAUGCGUAGAUAUCGUAAGGAAGACCAGUGGCGAAGGCGAGUUCCUGGACAGUUGCUGACACUGAGGCACGAAGGCUAGGGGAGCGAACGGG